rnacentral:misc_RNA from 1 species
UGGUUCUGGCAUCGAUGAAGAACGCAGCGAAAUGCGAUAAGUAAUGUGAAUUGCAGAAUUCAGUGAAUCAUCGAAUCUUUGAACGCACAUUGCGCCCCCUGGUAUUCCGGGGGGCAUGCCUGUCCGAGCGUCAUUGCAACCUUCAAGCCUAGCUUGGUAUUGGGCGUCGCCUUUGACGAGGCGUGCCUGAAAAACAGUGGGUGUCCGGUGUGACUUUGGGCGUAGUAAAUUUUCUCCCGCUCUGAAAGCCUCCCCGCGGCGCCCAGAACUCUCCAAUGAAUUGACCUCGGAUCAGGUAGGGAUACCCGCUGA